GCAACAGAUGGCGCUAGUGAGCAGGAGUUUUUCAAUUUUAAAAUGUAUGGAGAAAUUAAUAAAAAUUCGUUUUUUGACUAAUUAAACAAUUUAUUGGAAAAAAUAUUUGGUACAUGUUGUAAGUUAUAAUGAUAGCAAUCAACGAUACCAAAUAUUUCUUGAGAAAAUUUCGAAAUAUUUGAAAUAUUUGGAAAAAUGUUCAAAUCUCCAUACAUUAUUUCGACCGAAAACUUUUGCCUCGACGUUGGGUGAUCUUCGUUUGCCUAUACAUGGCAUCCCGAAAAUACAUGGAUUCAUGUUUACCCAUCUGUCAAUGCGACUGGUAAAAAAAUAAAAAAAAAGUUUGGAGCUGUGUGGAGCGGCACCGCGGGAGCAAAAUCUUUGGCGAUUUGCGGUGUACUUCCCUCUACCGCAGCGGUCAGCAGCCGUCGUGAGCCGGCUUGAAAAUAUUGUGUUUUCGGUAGAAGAGAAACCCGCUGCAGUGUCGCUGCACACUUCGUGUUGGUAAACAUUGCUAGAUUCGGUAUCCAGCGAAGAAGAUUCGGCAGCCAGAAAGCUGGAUUUUUGUUAUCCCAUGCCCAAAAGUGUAGUUAAAGUGCAAUGCCGGUUCCAUGAUAGCUAUAUUGAUGCAGUUUGCUAACGAGCUUGGACAAAACGAGGUACAGUUUGAGAUGCUGUUCGUGAUAUUGGACCGGUCGCGGUGGUGUACUUUUUUGGCGGUGUUUUCAUUCACCUGAUGGAGCGGCGUAUCCCGACAUCGCUUACAAUCUGGCCUUCGGGCAUGCGAGGCUAAUGGCGAACAGUUACUGGUUCUUUUACAAUCUCCUGACUGCCCGGGACUGCCGAUGUCGAUGUGCUUUAAGAAGUAUGAAUCACGUGGAGCAUCUUCGUCUGGAAUGGGAAGAUUUACCUCAUGGUGAGAUUCCUCCUGACCAUGGGUCGCCAUCCGGUCGCGGGACACUUCAUCUCCGCGCACCAAAGGAAUCGAAACGUACUCCUAGUACGGCCCCUUGGCUGGAUUAAUACCGUUAACGUUAGGUAUCACAACGAGCAUCGCGAUUUCCAGACCGUCCCCGAUUGGUGCCUCCCCGAAGUGAAACGGAUUGCACCAGAAUCUACGAUACCAUCCCGCAGUACAUUAGCUGAACCAGGGCCUUGUACGACUUUAUCGUAGAUCCCACCAUCCACCCGGAUCAAGCGGAAGACGAGGGGACUGGAUUGAUGAAACCCUCCUUCACCGGGGACCUUGGCACGUCGAGGCUUCGUCAUGGCUAAUCAAUAUUUAUCUCUCCGGUUAUCCAUUCCACAAACAAUUCACAGGCAUCCCCAUCCUGGCCAUCUAUAGUAUUGAACAAAAUUGCAAAAUUUCUUAUUUUAUUGUUAUAUUUGUUGAUAAGUAAUAAAAAGAUGCUUAGGGGGUUGGGGCUCUAUAAAAAAUCCGAAAAUCCGAGGGUAGGUUCACCAUAUUCUCCAAAGAUAAAGCGUUCGAAUAUUUCAUAAGUUAUUCUUGAAUUCAAUUUUAAGUUAAAAGCUGUGAGGUGGCGCAUUCUAUGACUAAUUGUUAAACAUCCACUUACUCACAAAAUUUAGAUAUCGUGAUAAUAGUGAUCAUAAGUGAUUUUUUUUUCGUUUACCCACAAAUAACCAAAACUGGUUCACCAAGUUCUCUAAAGUUGCGAGGUGACGCAUAUUCUUUCUUUUCUUCUAAAGCUUUAAAUUAGUUUAUAAGCGAUUCUUGCAUUUAAUGACAAAUCACUUAACUGGUUCACCAAGUGCUCUAAGGUUGCGAGAUGACGCAUAUUCUUUCUUUUCUUCUAAAACUUUAAAUGAGUUUAUUAGUGAUUCUUGCAUUUAAUUACAAAUCACUUGAACUGGUUCACCAAGUUCUCUAAGGUUGCGAGGUGACGCAUAUUCUUUCUUUUCUUCUAAAACUUUAAAUUAGUUUAUUAGUGAUUCUUGCAUUCAAUCACAAAUUACUAAAACUGGUUUACUAAGUUCUCUAAGGCGAGGUGACGCAUAUGCUUUCUUUUCUUCUAAAACUUUGAAUUAGUUUAUUAGUGAUUCUUGCAUUUAAUCACAAAUCACUUGAACUGGUUCACCAAGUUCUCUAAGGUUGCGAGGUGACGCAUAUUCUUUCUUUUCUUCUAAAACUUUAAAUUAGUUUAUUAGUGAUUCUUGCAUUUAAUCACAAAUCACUUAAACUGGUUCACCAAGUUCUUUAAGGUUGCGAGGUGACGCUUAUUAUUUCUUUUCUUCUAAAACUUUAAAUUAGUUUAUAAGCGAUUCUUGCAUUUAAUGACAAAUCACUUAAACUGG